UUUUUUUUUUUGAGACAGAGUCUUGCUCUGUCACCAGGCUAGAGUAUAAUGGCACAAUCUUGGCUCGCUGCAACCUCCACUUCCCGGUUCAAGUGAUUCUCCUGCCUCAGCCUCCUGAGUAGCUGAAACUACAGGCGCGCAACACCACGCCCAGCUAACUUGUAUUUUUCUAGUAGAGACAGGGUUUCAUCAUGUUGGCCAGGCUGGUCUCAAUCUUCUGACCUUGUGAUCCACCUGCCUCAGCCUCCCAAAGUGCUGGGAUAACAGGCGUGAGCCACCACACUUGACCCCAGAGAGUACACUUUUAAUCUUUACAUCUUAUGGAUUGCAGACAUGUUCAGAGCACCAUGUUGUGAUUGUUGGAAGUGGAGGUGAAAAUCAGAAAUGACUCCCAGGUCUGUGGGGCCUCAUGAAUGACCUAUGGAUUGGAACCUUUGAAAAAAAUUGAGGACAAGAAUGGAAUGAUUCUAUGGCUCAGGAAGUUUCACAUAAGGAAAACUUCACCUCAUAGAAAAUAAAAGCUCUGCCGAAGCCUUCUAGUUUGCCCUGAAUUGAAAUACACAGAGCCCUUCCUUAGUCACUAUCAUCACAUGGUGUAAUACUGGUGAUUUUAUAUCACUGUGGACCCAGAAACUUAUGCACCAUUCUAGGGCCAUGUGUAAAAUAUGCAAAACUGCCAUCAGUUACUGACCUGUGGACAAAAUAUCUAGCAUCAUAUUUAAGUGGCUUACAUCGUUUAAAAAGAUCUUGCAGAUUACUCAACAGUUAAUGCUUUCAUGGAACAUUUAGUCUUUGGUCUGCUCAUUUUCUUGUAGUGUCUGUGGUAUAGACAGAAUCAGCCUGUGAAAAUAGAGGACACAGGUAUUUAAAAAGAAAUGCAAGCAAAUGUGUUUUCAUUUACAGUGAAAUAUUUAGUAAAUAUAUUUCAAACCUUAUUGUGCAUACAGAUCACUUAAGGAUCUUGUUGAAACACAGACGUGGAUUCAGUAGAUCUGGAGAUGCCAAGAUUCUGCAUUUGUUACAAGCUCCCAGGAGGAAGAAGAGCGGGAAGGGUCACAGCAUCUCACCAUCCAGCCAGAGCACAGUGUAUGCCAGUGGUGGAGAAAUGGGUGAGCCCCAAGAGCUAGUUGUUGCCUUGGAUGGUCAGAGAAUGAGUCUCUUAUUUCAUCAUGGACCACAGUAGCAGCCUUAGGGGCAGCAUUCAUGUGCUGUUGCUCAGCCUUCACAGCAAAGAAAGCUAUAGGCUGAUCCCUUUAUGAAGCACGGUGAGUAUUGAGAGACAACCAUGUACUCAGGGAUGAGCUGCUCGGGUGCUGGUAAAUCCCAAUUCUUUUUUAUUGUAUUUCCAGAUGCCAGUCAUUCAUUUACAUUUCAAAAGUCAUAUUUGUUCCUCAUGACUCAUUAGCUUGGAGGGAGGGGAGAGCAAAGAGGAUUGUCCCAGUAUGUCUCUG
rnacentral:lncRNA from 13 species